rnacentral:rRNA from 1 species
CUGGCGGCAGGCCUAACACAUGCAAGUCGAGCGGCAGCGGGAAGUAGUUUACUACUUUGCCGGCGAGCGGCGGACGGGUGAGUAAUGUCUGGGAAACUGCCUGAUGGAGGGGGAUAACUACUGGAAACGGUAGCUAAUACCGCAUGACCUCGCAAGAGCAAAGUGGGGGACCUUCGGGCCUCACGCCAUCGGAUGUGCCCAGAUGGGAUUAGCUAGUAGGUGGGGUAAUGGCUCACCUAGGCGACGAUCCCUAGCUGGUCUGAGAGGAUGACCAGCCACACUGGAACUGAGACACGGUCCAGACUCCUACGGGAGGCAGCAGUGGGGAAUAUUGCACAAUGGGCGCAAGCCUGAUGCAGCCAUGCCGCGUGUGUGAAGAAGGCCUUCGGGUUGUAAAGCACUUUCAGCGAGGAGGAAGGGUUCAGUGUUAAUAGCACUGAGCAUUGACGUUACUCGCAGAAGAAGC